CACAAACCAACAAAAACAAGAAGUGUAUUAAAAUAUUAACAGAAUCAAACCCAACAAGCAUACGACCAUGACAAAGUAUUCACAAAUACAAAUGAAUAAAUUCAAUAAAAAACAAACCGAGAUGUCAUAAAAAGGCUAAGACAGUGGUAAGUUACACUCAUUUUAACAAUAUUAAAAACAAACUAAUCAAUAACAAAGAUAAAAUGGUGAGCGUCAAACAAUAUCAAUAAAAAUUGGUGAAGUCACCGGAAUGAAGCAUUUUUCCGGCCAGAUCUGGCAGUAACAAAUGGGGGAUGGGAAAAGCGGCACCGGAGAAAAGGGAGGCUCUAAGCUCGCCGUUCAUCACCUCCGGCGAGCCAAUGAUGAACAGGAACAAGGGGAGCACCGAAGAGGGAAAGGGGAAGGGCGGCAGGUGGUGUUUUGCUGGAGGCUCGCCCGCUGGUGCUGGUUGAGCGACGGAAAAAGAGGGAGGGGGAAGAGGGGCGGCGGUUGGAGGAGGAAAGAGCAGCGGCAGCCGGAGUCCGGCCAUGAACGCCGGAGAAAGGAGAGAAAAGGAUGGAGGCGGCUGAUUCCCUUUGUGUGUGUUAGGGGUCGUUUGGUAGGGUAUUGACAAAACUAAUGCAUGUAUUAAUUAAUGUACAUUAUAAAUAUCUUGAUACUUUCUUCGUCUUAUUUUAUUCGUUUUAAAUUUUUUAAUUUGAUAUCCUUUUUUACUUAUCUAGAUAAGAUAAAAAAAAAAUUUCAUUAUGUCUUUAGUGUAAUUGAUUACUCAUUGUUAUUAGUAUUUUUAAAAAAUGUUAGAAAGAAGAGUAUCAUUAAGAAUACAUUA
rnacentral:lncRNA from 1 species